rnacentral:SRP_RNA from 1 species
GCCUGGUGCAGUGGCACGUGCCUGUAGUCCCAGCUACUCAGGAGGCUAAGGUGGGAGGAUUGCUUGAGCCCAGGAGUUCUGUACUUCAGUGCACUAUGCUGAUCAGGUGUCCGCACUAAGUUCAGCAUUAAUACGAUGACCUCCCGGGAGUGGAGGACCACCAGGUUGCCUAAGGAGGGGUGAACCAGCCCAGGUCGGAAACAGAGCAAGUCAAAACUCUUGUGCUGAUCAGUAGUGGGAUUGUGCCUCUGAAUAGCCACUGCACUCCAGCCUGGGCAACAUAGCAAGACACCGUCUCU